GUGCAUUAACGUGAUUUACCGCUGACCACGAUUGUCAGAUGAGGCGCAUGCUCUCCCCAGUCUCUCUGCGGCAGUUAGGUCAAACUGAAAGCAUGGCGGACGAAGGUGAGUUCAAGAAGAACCAGAAGAUUAUGGCAGCAAAGAGGACAAGAAAAAGAGAACGAAACAAACUUGGAAAGGGUAAAGACCGGCUCUCGUACCUGAAAAAUUAACAAUUCAGCGAUUAUCGAAUAUCAGCUCAAGUUAAAGGAUCUUCCCAAAAGUAUGCCAGAAUGGGGCCUUUAGUGUGACUAUAUAUUGUUUGUG